UGACCUCAAAUCAGGUAGGACUACCCGCUGAACUUAAGCAUAUCAAUAAGCGGAGGAAAAGAAACUAACAAGGAUUCCCCUAGUAACUGCGAGUGAAGCGGGAAAAGCUCAAAUUUAAAAUCUGUCAGUCUUUGGCUGUCCGAGUUGUAAUCUAGAGAAGUGUUAUCCGCGCUGGACCGUGUACAAGUCUCCUGGAAUGGAGCGUCAUAGAGGGUGAGAAUCCCGUCUUUGACACGGACUACCAGGGCUUUGUGAUGCGCUCUCAAAGAGUCGAGUUGUUUGGGAAUGCAGCUCAAAAUGGGUGGUAAAUUCCAUCUAAAGCUAAAUAUUGGCGAGAGACCGAUAGCGAACAAGUACCGUGAGGGAAAGAUGAAAAGAACUUUGGAAAGAGAGUUAAACAGUACGUGAAAUUGCUGAAAGGGAAACGCUUGAAGUCAGUCGCGUCGUCCAGGGAUCAACCUUGCUUUUGCCUGGUGUACUUUCUGGUUUGACGGGUCAGCAUCAAUUUUGAUUAUUGGAAAAAGAUUAAGGGAAUGUGGCAUCUUUGGAUGUGUUAUAGCCCUUGAUUGCAUACAAUAGUUGGGAUUGAGGAACUCAGCACGCCGCAAGGCCGGGUUUUUUAUAAACCACGUACGUGCUUAGGA
rnacentral:rRNA from 1 species